rnacentral:tRNA from 1 species
GCAGGGGUACCCGAGCUGGCCAAAGGGGCAGGACUUAAGAUCCUGUGGAUGCAGAUCCUACGAGGGUUCGAAUCCCUUCCCCUGCACCA